UACGUAGGGGGCAAGCGUUGUCCGGAAUUAUUGGGCGUAAAGCGCGCGCAGGCGGUCAUUUAAGUCUGGUGUUUAAGCCCGGGGCUCAACCCCGGUUCGCAUCGGAAACUGGAUGACUUGAGUGUAGGAGAGGAAAGUGGAAUUCCACGUGUAGCGGUGAAAUGCGUAGAUAUGCGGAGGAACACCGAUGGCGAAGGCAAUCCCCUGGGCCUGCACUGACGCUCAUGCACGAAAGCGUGGGGAGCAAACAGG
rnacentral:rRNA from 1 species